GUGAUGCUGCUUUUCCACAUUUUCAGCCCGUGCAUGUCGGUAGAAGCACUCUAUAUAUAAGUCCAGUCUGUUGUUUCGACCUUCAGGAGGACUCCACGCAGAAUCCUUCUUUUUGUAGUGUUGGUAGGAAAGUUUCUGUGGAUUAGCGUGCUGUUCAGAGAAGGGACAAAGGAAGCAGCCAUUGAACCAGAAACGGGUCCUGACCGAAGAGGUUUGGUCAGUAAGACUGCUGAGAGCAUUUGAUGGAGAGAUGGUAACAUGACUUCAGCAAGCAGCAGCUGGAAUCCUACAGCCAUGACCCCUGCUGCAGAGUUGGAGACAAGGCUGGAGAAGGGAUUUUGAAAGCUUGAUAGAGCACUGAACUGGACAGGAUGAAGUCUUUGAGGAAAGCUGGACACAUGAAGGGAGACCUUCUGACCAAGAAUCACCUGCAACAGGACAUCUCAUAACACAGAUGCACGAAAGAUGAUUUUACCAUAUAUAUCCUGUUGCACAUUUGAGAAGCAUUUUCUUUGCAUGGUUAAGUCUUUGACUGUGGCAAUUAAUGCUAAACUACAAAACAGAAUA